UUCCGGUUGAUCCUGCCGGACCCGACUGCUAUCAGAGUGGGACUAAGCCAUGCGAGUCAACGUAGCAAUACGUGGCAUACGGCUCAGUAACACGUAGUCAACAUGCCCAGGGGACGAGGAUAACCUCGGGAAACUGAGGAUAAACCUCGAUAGGCCAUGAUUUCUGGAAUGAUUCUUGGCACAAACCUAUAUGGCCCCUGGAUUGGACUGCGGCCGAUCAGGCUGUUGGUGAGGUAAUGGCCCACCAAACCUGUAACCGGUACGGGCUCUGAGAGGAGGAGCCCGGAGAUGGGCACUGAGACAAGGGCCCAGGCCCUAUGGGGCGCAGCAGGCGCGAAACCUCUGCAAUAGGCGAAAGCUUGACAGGGUUACUCUGAGUGAUUUCCGUUAAGGAGAUCUUUCGGCACCUCUAAAAAUGGUGCAGAAUAAGGGGUGGGCAAGUCUGGUGUCAGCCGCCGCGGUAAUACCAGCACCCCGAGUGGUCGGGACGUUUAUUGGGCCUAAAGCAUCCGUAGCCGGUUCUACAAGUCUUCCGUUAAAUCCACCUGCUUAACAGAUGGGCUGCGGAAGAUACUAUAGAGCUAGGAGGCGGGAGAGGCAAGCGGUACUCGAUGGGUAGGGGUAAAAUCCGUUGAUCCAUUGAAGACCACCAGUGGCGAAGGCGGCUUGCCAGAACGCGCUCGACGGUGAGGGAUGAAAGCUGGGGGAGCAAACCGGAUUAGAUACCCGGGUAGUCCCAG
rnacentral:rRNA from 1 species